CAGCAGUAGCCGCGGGAAUACGAAAGGUCCAGGCGUUAUCCGGAUUUAUUGAGUUUAAAGGGAGUGUAGGCGGUCUGUUAAGCGUGUUGUGAAAUUUAGGUGCUCAACAUCUAACUUGCAGCGCGAACUGGCGGACUUGAGUGCACGCAACGUAUGCGGAAUUCAUGGUGUAGCGGUGAAAUGCUUAGAUAUCAUGACGAACUCCGAUUGCGAAGGCAGCGUACGGGAGUGUUACUGACGCUUAAGCUCGAAGGUGCGGGUAUCGAACAGGAUUAGAUACCCGCGUAGUCCCUGUCUCUUAUAC
rnacentral:rRNA from 1 species